rnacentral:rRNA from 1 species
GACGAACGCUGGCGGCGUGCUUAACACAUGCAAGUCGAACGGAAAGGCCCUGCUUUUGUGGGGUGCUCGAGUGGCGAACGGGUGAGUAACACGUGAGUAACCUGCCCUUGACUUUGGGAUAACUUCAGGAAACUGGGGCUAAUACCGGAUAGGAGCUCCUGCUGCAUGGUGGGGGUUGGAAAGUUUCGGCGGUUGGGGAUGGACUCGCGGCUUAUCAGCUUGUUGGUGGGGUAGUGGCUUACCAAGGCUUUGACGGGUAGCCGGCCUGAGAGGGUGACCGGCCACAUUGGGACUGAGAUACGGCCCAGACUCCUACGGGGGGCAGCAGUGGGAAAUAUUGCACAAUGGGCGGCAGCCUGAUGCAGCAACGCCGCGUGCGGGAUAGCGGCCUUCGGGUUGUAAACCGCUUUCGCCUGUGACGAAGCGUGAGUGACGGUAAUGGGUAAAGAAGCACCGGCUAACUACGUG